GCGGGUGUAGUUUACCGUCAAAACGCUGGCCUUCCAGGCGAGAAACUCCUGGUUCAACUCCGGACACCCGCA
rnacentral:tRNA from 1 species